AUCUUGAAGAAUAUCGUCAGACCUGGUAAAACCCAACUGUACAUAGGCCUAAAGCAUACUCUAGUCCUAUCAGAAAAGAUUCCAUGCCCUACAAAAUCUGGGAAGACGUUUCAUUCGACAAAGCUGGAAAAAGCUUCUUCUGAAAAAUGACCUAGGCAGAAGACAUGGUCUCUACAGAUGAAGCAGAAUACAAAUGCACAGCUCCACAAAAGCGGGCAAUUCUCCUCGUCAUCGUCGCUCUGGUGCUCUUCCUGCCUGGUGCCGGGCUGCUCACCGGAUACUCAUCCGCGAAUUCAACAAGCGUCUACGUCAUCAUUGGGUCCAUCCUGCUGGCUCUAGCGCUUGCCUGUCUUCUCGCGGGGAUAAUCAUGUGCUGUAUGAUGUAUCAGAAAUGUGACACUGAUAUGUCACGUGCAAAUAUGGUGGAGAUGACCGAGCGAAAUAUGGUGCCAGCUACUUCUGAGCCAAGAUCGAUGAAUUCAGUCCACCAAGAAGGGAGUAGGCCUAAGGGGCACGCAGAGACUUCGUUAACGGGAGUCGUGCCCGGGGAAGUGCUUCCUCUACCGACAUACCCGCCUGCAAGAGACCUUCCACCUCCUUGAUGGGUUCCAAGUGUGCGGAAAAGCACCAUCUCGAUUGAUCAAGUCAGAGUGACUCGAGACUAGUUCUCUACUAAGGAUAUCAAAACAGUAUUACUCCGCAGAGUUUAUCAAUAGUAAUAAUCAA